GAAGGCUGCAGAUGAAGACAACGCAUUGAUCGUCCUACUUGGCUGUGAGCCCUGUGAAGUAUAAGAUGAAAUGUGUCCACCUGUACAACAGCGGCACAGCUAGAAUGGAGGAUAAUCAGCCACUCUUUGAUUGGAUCGGAGGUCUACUUCAUAGGAGGGAAUCCAUGCCUGGUAAAGGAAACCUGGCAUGACAGGAAGAAGAAGCACAACUAUGCAAGAAAUUAUUGUUGCUCCUGGAGUCAUUGAUGCUUAUCAAUCAAGAUCAUGGUCAAGGUGAUGACUCACUCUUCAAGUGGAGUUUCUAUAGUAAAGCAGGAUGAAAAUCAAGCGAGAUGACUUCCAGAGUGACUGAUUUUGUGUAUUCAGCAGACCUGAUGACAUCAUAGCUGAUAAUGUCCCAGCAUGAGAGACAAAAUGAAAAGAGAUGGAGAAAAAAACCCAUGGUCCGGCUUUCUCUGCCUCCACAGAAAGGAAUGCCUUAUUCAGGACCUGCUGUGACUGUCCUUGUGGCUGUUGCUGUCCCUGUCACUAAUCUGUACUUCAAGUGCCAUUCUGUACUGCAAGAUGCUGAACUGCCUCCAGACCAGACACAGCCAAAGAGGUCCUGCCGAGGUGACCUGACUACAGUGACUACAAUUUUCUGCAGUUUGAAUCCUGUUUGCUCUGGAGGUGAGAUACAGACUGAACAUUUGACUGUUUUAGUCACUUAGACACAGAACUCAUUUUGAUUAAAAUAUCAGACCUGAGAACUAAGACCUAAGCUUUCCCCUCAGGGAAAGAAAGACUCAAAAUAAGAAAUGACUGAAAAUCCUCUUCAGUUAAGAAGGGGAUGGCCUAAGGGUUUAACGGUUGCUCAGAGACUGGAACUCAUAUUUGAUAACAGCAAUCCCAUUGUACUCUUACCAAUCAGAAAAGCUUUUCUUGUUCUUUGAUUAAUGUGGAUUUAAGAAAAUUGUGAUAUGUUUAAUUGUUGAUUCAUUUUUAUGAUAUUGACCAAUAAUGCUGAGAAUUAUGGUACUGACCUGAUGAUGUUUGUAACUGCAUAUAAGAUGUUGAGAAGAGUUUGACACACUCUGUAAAUGUUGGAAUUUAAUUAUAUAUUAAGAUUUUUAAAUUUUGAUAUAAUGUAAAAGAUG